rnacentral:rRNA from 1 species
AUUGAACGCUGGCGGCAGGCCUAACACAUGCAAGUCGAGCGGAUGAAGGGAGCUUGCUCCUGGAUUCAGCGGCGGACGGGUGAGUAAUGCCUAGGAAUCUGCCUGGUAGUGGGGGAUAACGUCCGGAAACGGGCGCUAAUUCCGCAUACGUCCUGAGGGAGAAAGUGGGGGAUCUUCGGACCUCACGCUAUCAGAUGAGCCUAGGUCGGAUUAGCUAGUUGGUGGGGUAAAGGCCUACCAAGGCGACGAUCCGUAACUGGUCUGAGAGGAUGAUCAGUCACACUGGAACUGAGACACGGUCCAGACUCCUACGGGAGGCAGCAGUGGGGAAUAUUGGACAAUGGGCGAAAGCCUGAUCCAGCCAUGCCGCGUGUGUGAAGAAGGUCUUCGGAUUGUAAAGCACUUUAAGUUGGGAGGAAGGGCAGUAAGUUAAUACCUUGCUGUUUUGACGUUACCAACAGAAUAAGCACCGGCUAACUUCGUG